rnacentral:rRNA from 1 species
GUAGGCGGUUUCUUAAGCCAGAUGUAAAAUCCUCUGACUUAAUCAGAAGGUGUCAUUUGGUACUGGGGGGCUUGAGAGCAGCAGAGGGAAAUGGAAUCUCCAGUGUAGCGGUGAAAUGCGUAGAUAUUGGGGAGAACACCAGUGGCGAAGGCGAUUUCCCAGGCUGUUUCUGACGCUGAGGCUCGAAAGCGUGGGGAGCGAAGCGGAUUAGAUACCCGCGUAGUCCACGCCCUAAACGGUGGACACUAGACAUGGAAGGUAUCGACCCUUUCUGUGUCGAAGCUAACGCUUUAAGUGUCCCGCCUGGGGAGUACGGCCGCAAGGCUAAAACUCAAAGGAAUUGACGGGGGCCCGCACAAGCAGCGGAGCGUGUGGUUUAAUUCGAUGCUACACGAAGAACCUUACCAGGACUUGACAUGGCAGAAGUAGGAAUCUGAAAGGAGGACGACCUGUAUCCAGUCAGGAGCUGUCACAGGUGUUGCAUGGCUGUCGUCAGCUCGUGCCGUGAGGUGUUGGGUUAAGUCCCGCAACGAGCGCAACCCUUGUCCUACGUUAAAUUCUCAUAGGAGACUGCCUUGUACAGCAAGGAGGAAGGAAAGGAUGACGUCAAGUCAGCACGGCCUUUAUAUCCUGGGCAACACACACGCUACAAUGGACGAUACAGAGGGUUGCUAAGGAGCGAUCUGGAGCUAAUCUCCGAAAAUCGUCCCCAGUUCGGAUUGCAGGCUGAAAUCGCCUGCAUGAAGUCGGAGUU